AAUCCCAUUAGAAGACAAGCCCUCGUCAUCAGCCUUGGAGAUCAAAUUGGAAAGUGAGAUAAUGAAGGGCUGAUGAUGAGCUUUGGAUCUUCCAAUGGUUUCUUUAUCUGCAUUUGUGUUUUACUAAGUUGUGUGUGAAAAUAUGUUGGAUUUGUAUCAGUGUGUUGAAAAUUUCACAAAAACUUUUUUUUUUUAAAAAAAAAAAGAAGCUUAAAAAUUUAGACAUACCUUUACUUUGAAGUUGUAUUUUAUUUGAGUCUGUUGAAACUAUGUAACUACAUUCAAGAUUGCACACAAAAUACAAUAAUUGUGUGGCCCUUGUGUGCACAACUUAUUUUAUUUCAAAUAUUGUAUCAAUGAUUUCUUAUGUUAUUCUUUAUUUCAAU